CAACCACGGACGAGUAGAGUCGUACGGAAAGUAAACCAAAAGCAAACCAAAUAUUCGUCAUCUCCGUGAAAUACAUUUAGUAGAUAAAAAAAAAUUUAUCGAAAAAUUAACAGGUAUUAUCAGCAGGUUUUUGUAGAAACUAAACAUGGCUUGCUGUCCAAGAAACCAAGCUCAGGAUCAAGAAGCGACAGAACUCCGCCCACCAGAUGCAGUGAGCCAGUGACUAACACAUCCAGCUGUAUAAAACCAAAUCAUAAUUUAACGACAUAUAAACCAUUCUUAAAAUGUA